CGCCCUUAGAGUUUGAUCAUGGCUCAGGAUGAACGCUGGCGGCGUGCCUAAUACAUGCAAGUCGAACGAAAAGAUGCUUGCAUCUUUGAGUGGCGAACGGGUGAGUAACACGUGAAUAACCUGCCUUAUAGUAGGGGAUAACAUUUGGAAACAGAUGCUAAUACCGUAUAAAACAAUUUUGCAUAAAAUUUGUUAAAAGGCGUUCGCGUCGCUAAAAGAUGGAUUCGCGCUGCAUUAGUUAGUUGGUGAGGUAAAGGCUCACCAAGACGAUGAUGCAUAGCCGAGUUGAGAGACUGGUCGGCCACAUUGGGACUGAGACACGGCCCAAGCUCCUACGGGAGGCUGCAGUAGGGAAUCUUCCACAAUGGGCGAAAGCCUGAUGGAGCAACGCCGC
rnacentral:rRNA from 1 species